rnacentral:misc_RNA from 1 species
GGAAAAUACUGGCAAUAUCAAGGACAUCCCUCCUUGCUGCUGCAUUGGAGGCUACUUUAAUGAGCAUUAGCUCCCGCUCAGCAAAUGGCAAAUGAGUUAUAUCUCGAACCUCAUGAACAUCUAUCAACUUGUUAAAUUGCUUGACCAAUUUCCCUAUGGUUUCAUCAGUUCCAGGGACCACUGUGGUAAUACGUGAAAGCCCCUCUGUCUCUGCAGGGCCUACAGCAAGACUCUGAACAUUAUACCCUCGUCGAGAUAUAACACCACUUAUCAAAUUUAGGACCCCAGGAGCAUUGUUGACAAGCAUGCUUAAUGUGUGUGAUCGAAUCCCAGUCAAAUCUCCAUCAUACAGAUAUCCCCAGUGGGCAUCGAGAACUUGAUUAACUGAGAUUUCAUCACUGGAUUCCACAGG